AUGAAAUUCUCCAACCUGACUUUUUUGUAUACAAUGACACAAAUAAGGGGUAUUUAAACUAAUAGUAAUUUAAAAAGAAAAACACUAAAUAAAUGUAUAGUUUAUACAUAUUAAUAAAAGUAGAAAAAAAAAAGUUUUUUGAGGAUCUGUUUCUCAAAAUACCUAAAUUAGUUAUAUGCAGCUUUAAAGUAAUGUCGAACUAGAAGUGUUAAGCCAAUUUGAAGAAGAUUAAGAACCGAACGGAGCCGGAGCGGGUCGCUAGUCAAAGAUAAGUUUGCCGAUAUACAAAUUACGAACACCAGCACACACACUGAGGACCUAUCGAGCAAUAUUACGCAAUUGGAGAAAGCUCUCCCCUUUGCCGUUUCAAGCAGCCAUUUAACAAAAAUUGAAAAAAACUAGGGUUCGUGUGUAACCUCUAAAAUCGUGCACGCCGCUGCAACGUAGGUACUCAGGCUGUUUAAAUUAAUUCAUCCAUGGUACAUUCCUGUGCAGAUUGCAUUCCUUGUCCGCUAUGCGCACGGACGAAUUACGUUGGCUACGUGUCCUUUAUACACAAAAUACUUUCAUGCGUCGAGCACGAGCAUACGUUAUUCAGAAUAAUUAAAACUGAACUAUAGUGUUUUCGCUUUGUUUUAAUAUACUUCCGACGAUUAUUUCCAACAACUACAAGAAACUUGUAAUACACAAAUAUAAAAGACAGAAGAACGACAAGAGUGUUUUUUUUAAUAUAUUAUUUAUUAUUUCUAUAUGAAUGAGGAGUGAGAGAGUGAGAAUGUGACGGGCGGCAAUCGCGUCCAUAAGCCCCGGUAAUCACUUAACUAACCACAAGAUAGCCCGAGAAUUCGUUCACCCAUAUAUGUAAUAUAAAAUUGAAUCCUUCAAACGAGAACACAAGAUUACUUUGUUGCAAGAAUGUGGAAGAGAUUACUGCAAGAUGGAAAAGAUCGAGCAGAAGAUUACUUAAGGCAGAUAUUGAAGUGCCCAUAGCCAGAGCAGAGUUUUUUAGGAUUUUCACCGUUUUAAAAAGCAUAAUGCAAAAUGCGGGCGUGUUUUAAGCUGGCAACGUUGGAUCAACGCGAUAUUCAGAGAGCAGCUUGGCUUGCACCAAUAUAAGCUUUCAGAGGGGUAUGCAUACAUUUUUCAUAGAUACAGUCGUACCGAUGUCGAUGUCGAGGGUGACACCUAGGUUGGCUUUAAAAUCUCACGCAUUGGCCAAAGAUUUUGAUCGCAGGAAUGGAGUUUUACCACAUUUUAUUCUGGACGAGAUACCAGCAGUGGUGAAGAGAGGGCGACCCCUUUUGAAGAGCACGGCUAUACUUUUCGUGGGGUUAAUAUCGAUACGCCACUUCUAGAACCUCUAGCCUAAAUUGGCCUCGAUUUGAAGUUUACCGUGAAUGAACGACAUCUUCCUACUCGAGAGUAGAUAGUCGUAUCAUUGGCAAAGUGAGCCAACUGGGUCGCCGGCCACCGGGGUAUUUCGUUUAAGUACAAACUAAAAAGUAGCGGGGAGAAAGCGAAUUCCUUCUAUUCGAUACCGAAACAAACCGUUUGACAAGAAGUCUCCUUUAAUAAGCACGAGACAGUCUGGCAACCCCAUGUCGUACAAUUUGUACAUUAAACCAUAACGGACAGACUUUGUUAUACGUCUUCGCGAUAUUCAAUUAUUUUAGGUUGGUUGUAAAAAGAUCUUCUAUUAUUAUUACUAAAUUCGUAUUUUAAUCCAUAACCUGUGUAAGUGCCACCUUAUUCUAAAAUCUGAAGGAAAACAGAAACUGAAAAUUUUUAAAAUUUGCGAUUUAAAACAAAAAUAGAAAACCUUAUGAUUCACUGUUUUUUUUUUUUUGUUGAAUUGUCAAAUAAAAUUGUUUGUUUUUUACUUUUAAAUUCGUGCAAAAAUCACAAGAUUAAAUGUACCGCAAAUAGAUUUAUCUUGUACUACCGUCAGAAUACUAAUAAGAAGCUCCGUUUGUUCGCAUCAAUAAAAUUAACAUUGUAA